AGCAGCCGCGGUAAUUCCAGCUCCAAUAGCGUAUAUUAAAGUUGUUGCAGUUAAAAGCUCGUAGUUGAAUUUCGGGAUUAAUAUGUUGGUCGUGCCUUGGUACGUACUGGCAUUAUUGAUUCCUACCUUCUGAAGAACCUCGAUGUCAUUAAUUUGGUGUCUUGGGGAAUCAGGACCGUUACUUUGAAAAAUUAGAGUGUUUAAAGCAGGCUCGCGCUUGAAUACAUUAGCAUGGAAUAAUGAAAUAGGACGUUUGAUUCUAUUUUGUUGGUUUCUAGGAUCGACGUAAUGAUUAAUAGGGAUAGUUGGGGGCAUUAGUAUUCAAUUGUCAGAGGUGAAAUUCUUGGAUUUAUUGAAGACUAACUACUGCGAAAGCAUUUGCCAAGGAUGUUUUCAUUAAUCAAGAACGAAAGUUAGGGAUCGAAGACGAUCAGAUACCGUCGUAGUCUUAACCAUAAACUAUGCCGACUAGGGAUCGGAUGAUGUUAAUUUUUUAAUGUACUCAUUCGGCGCCUUAAC
rnacentral:misc_RNA from 1 species